CCCAUUUGAUAAUCUAUCCAUACAAUUGACUAGUGCUUUUUUUUUUUUACUUUUUUUGUUUUAAUUAAAUGGGGUUUGAGGGCCACUUGUAUAUUGAAAAUUGGCAUCAAAUUGACCAAGCACAAUAAACUUAGGUAGUUUAGGAUACGAUAUAUCAUAUCGUUAAUUUUUGUGAUUGUAAAUACUAGAGGAGCUUAAGAGCUUUUGUGAUUGUUGAAAUAGGUUUAAUGCAUUGGCUAAAUUCACUAAUGAUAUUAGCUAUUGUAAAAGUAGGUUCCGGAUGCAGCUAGUGGGCAUCGUAAACUCCAAGAGUCUGUGGAAGAUGACAUCCUUAGCAGUGGACUGGGUGCUAUUAGGUACUCAACGAACCUCUUCUCAACAACUGGUUCUCCAAAAAAGGAUGGCUGGAAACAUGAAUUUUAAAUUGUCUUUAGUUUAUUUUCUUUUAUUUUGGUUGUCUGGGAAUAUGAACUUCAAAUUGUAUGUGUAAAUUGUUGGUUUUGGUAAGUUUAAGAAUAGUUUUGUAUCUCAAUUCAAUGUUUCUGAUUUGGUUGGAUUCUCACA